GGGGACCUACGGGACGCAGCAGUAGGGAAUUUUCGUCAAUGGGCGCAAGCCUGAACGAGCAAUGCCGCGUGAACGAGGAAGGUCUUCGGAUCGUAAAGUUCUGUUGAAGGGGAAAAAGAGCGGAGAGAGGAAAUGAACUCCGAUUGAUAUUACCCUUCGAGGAAGUCACGGCUAACUACGUGCCAGCAGCCGCGGUAAUACGUAGGUGGCGAGUGUUAUCCGGAAUGAUUGGGCGUAAGGGGUGCGUAGGCGGCCUGCUAAGUCUGGAGUGAAAGGUACCGGCUCAACCGGUACAGGCUCUGGAA
rnacentral:rRNA from 1 species